CCUAAACCAGCUUGGACCAGCUAGAAACUACUGAAAAAUAGCCAUCAAUUGGUUUAUUUUCGAUUGUCCAGCAAGGGAAGCAUUUCAAGUCACUCUCCACCAGCGCAUUUGGGAUUUUUGACAGGUAAUCCAGUCCUGGAGAGUCUGAUAUACAGAACAAGAGACGGUUAG